rnacentral:sRNA from 1 species
UCUGGGUGUGGUGGUGCACACCUGUAAUCCCAGCUACUUGAGAGGCUGAGGCAGGAGGUUUGCUGAGAUGAGCCUCAGCAACUUAUUUAAACCCUGUAUCAA